rnacentral:rRNA from 1 species
GAUGAACGCUGGCGGCGUGCUUAACACAUGCAAGUCGAACGAAACACCUUAUUUGAUUUUCUUCGGAACUGAAGAUUUGGUGAUUGAGUGGCGGACGGGUGAGUAACGCGUGGGUAACCUGCCCUGUACAGGGGGAUAACAGUCAGAAAUGACUGCUAAUACCGCAUAAGACCACAGCACCGCAUGGUGCAGGGGUAAAAACUCCGGUGGUACAGGAUGGACCCGCGUCUGAUUAGCUGGUUGGUGAGGUAACGGCUCACCAAGGCGACGAUCAGUAGCCGGCUUGAGAGAGUGAACGGCCACAUUGGGACUGAGACACGGCCCAAACUCCUACGGGAGGCAGCAGUGGGGAAUAUUGCACAGUGGGGGAAACCCUGAUGCAGCGACGCCGCGUGAGUGAAGAAGUAUUUCGGUAUGUAAAGCUCUAUCAGCAGGGAAGAAAAUGACGGUACCUGACUAAGAAGCCCCGGCUAACUACGUG